rnacentral:misc_RNA from 1 species
CGUCGUCGUCGUUGCCGUCGUCGUCAUCAUCAUCAUCGUUGUCAUCGUCAUCAUCGUUAUCGUCAUCGCCGUCAUCUUCGUAGAGUGCAUAAGACGAUUAAAUAGUCACAAAAAGGGACACCAAUAGAGCGUUUUAAAAGGAAAGUGCGAUUUGACAGAGAAACUGCUUGUCACCGAGAGCAAUAUAUUUAAGAAGAUAUGUUAUAACUUUUGAGCCAUUCGAUGGAUAGGAUAUGUGACUUCCAUUGACGAAAAUAUUGUAAGCGUUGUACUUAAAGAAGAACCCGGAGAUAGAUUUGAUCCCGACUACAUGGAGGAUAUAUGCUCUGGUACUUUCGAGAAGGUAUUUUUACCUAUCGAAAAUAACGAAGUGGAUUUUUCCAAUGAAAUGGUAAAAUUGGAGUUGGAAGGAGAAACAAGCGGACACCCAAACUGGACGGCACAGAUCACAGCGGCGAACCUUUGCGAGAAAGAAGAUGGUAUAUCGCAUAGGUGUUUAAGUGCAGCAGACUUUAUGCAAGCUCAAGACGCAGAGAAACAUCCUGUAUUUUGUGCAAACGGACAGCAGCCAAAAUUUUAUAAGAUUCAAUGUUCCAUGUGCAAGAAAUGGUUUCUUAACAACGAUUCCAUGGUCACGCAUUUAAGAACGCAUUGUAAUGGGAAUCAGUGCGAGGUUUGUCAUCAAAACUUUCAAGACAAUUCUAGCUUACAUGCGCACAUGUUAACACAUGUUGGCAUGAGUCCGUUGGAGUGCAAUGUUUGCCAGAAGAGAUUUGCUUAUAAGUGGUGUUUAAGAGAUCAUAUGCAAAUGCACUCGAUGGAUAAGCCAUACGACUGUGACACUAUGCAACAAGGAUUUAUGAAAAAGCCUGAAAAUAAUGAUGAGCAAUCAUUGAGUACGGGAGAAAGACCUUUCGAAUGCGACGUAUGCCAUAAUACUUUUAGAGAAAAAGGAAAUUUGAAUCGACAUAUGCUGAUUCACACUGGAGAGAGGCCCUACAAAUGCGAGAUAUGCUACGCCGCUUUUAGGGAAAAAGCUAAAUUAAAUAUACACAUGCCUAUACACACGGGUUUGAAGCAGUUUAAAUGUACAAUGUGUCAUAGAUCGUUUGCUCAAAAAACUGCUCUGAACAAUCAUAUGUUGGCACAUAGCGGAGAAAAGCCGCAUGCUUGUAAUAUUUGCGAAAAAACGUACAAAAGGAAAUCAGAAUUAAUCAGGCAUACGAUGGUUCAUACUGGUGAACGACCCUACGAAUGUAAAGAGUGCCUAAUGACGUUUCGGGAAAAAGCUAAAUUAAAUUCUCACAUGUUGGUUCAUACCGGCGAAAAACCUCACGAAUGUCAUAUAUGUCACAAAGCGUGCGCGCGUAAAUCCGAUUUGAAUAGUCAUAUGUUAUUGCAUACUGGCGGGCAAUAUGACUGCAAGGUAUGCGAUAAAAUUUUUACGCGAAAGUCUGAUCUGAACAGACACACUUUAAUACAUACUGGCGAAAAGCCGUUCGCGUGCGAUCUCUGUGAAAUGGCGUUUAGAGAAAAAACGAGAUUAAAUUCUCAUAUGUUGAUACAUACCGGCGAUAAGAGGCACGCAUGUCAUAUUUGUCAGAAAACUUUUAAAGAAAAGGCAUCCUUGAGGAAACACAUGUUAAGUCACACGGGAGAUAGGCCUUACGAGUGUUACGUCUGUCACAAAGCAUUUACGCAAAAAACUACUUUGACCAGUCACAUUUUGGUACAUGCUGGGGAAAGGCCUUAUGAUUGCAGUACUUGUCAAAAAGUUUUUAAAGAUAAAGCUGCGUUAAAGAAGCAUUUAUCGAUGCAUAUCAAUGAAAAAAAUCACGAAUGUUUGAUUUGCUUGAAAAAAUUUAGUCGUAAAGCCGCAUUGAACAUUCAUCUCUCGACCCAUCAUACAUCUUAAUCCGUAAAGAUCUAGUCCGAUUUUUCUUUACAUCGAGCGCACCGUAUGCUUGUAGACAUAUUACAUGCUCACCGGUCGUACAAUUAUAAAAAGACGUAUUUUCAUUUCCUUUCUUUUUUUCUUCUAUGUACCACAGAAAUAAAUUCAUUUUCAAUAGUAUUUUACGUUCAUUGCAUUGGAUAUCCAUAACAGAGAAUUAAGUAGACGAAUGAUAUAAUAUCUGCAUCUCUUUCUUUUUUUUCUUUACUUUAGACUAACCCUUUCUAAUUAACUAUAGUCGUUCUACAUCGAACUUUCACGCUUUACUAAUGACGAUUAUUUUCCAAUUAUUUGUUCACUUUGAUUAUCCUAAAAUACAUUUAGUUAUAAUGAAUUGUAACAUCCGCGUUAUAAUUAUUCGCUGAAGGAACAAUAUUUUAGUCUUCCGAUUGUUCCUACAGCGAAAUUGUAUUGAUGAAAGACAAAUUUGUAUUGGAAGGGUUAAUUAAUGAAUGAUAGCAAAGCCUUACAAUGCACAAUGCACGAUGCACGAUACAAGUUACGCGAUAGCAUUCAUCAAUAAUUUUACAUAUUUCUUUUCCAUUAAUUUCGAUUAUAAUGUAACGCGAUGUUUCUUUUUUUGUUCGAUUCGAUUAUUAUGUUUAUACAAUGCUAAUGCGUUAAUAAGAAAAUGCAAAAAAGUACAACUUAAUGUAUAUUAUAUGUAAAGUUAAAAUAACGAGUAUGCAAAUUACGAGAGUUAAGAUUAUUAUUAUUCAUUUCCUUGUAAUAAUGUCGUUAAAUUUUUGUCUUUUAUGCGCUUUUACGACAUACCUAAUUAGAAUUAAACUAUCAAGUUUUAUUACAUAUGUUGUUUGAUUUUGUAGUAGUUACAAUAUUUAUUCGGCAUAUUUGACUGUGAUUAGCCAUCUUUGCUCGAUGGUCCUUAAAAAAAGAAAACUUCUAUUCACGCGAUAACGACGAAAGUUUCCUUCUAUAAAAUGCAUACAGCGUAUAUAUAUUAUAUAUAUAUAUAUAUUAUCUUUAUAUAUAAACAAAAGAAAAGAAAACAAAAAAAUAAGAGACUGUGGCAAAAAUAUACUUUAUUCAUUCCUUCGUUUUCUGUACACGAUAAAUAUAAUAUAAAUAUAAGUGUUGAUAACUGUAUAAGAAAUAGUUUUAUCAACAAUCGUACGUUUUAUAAACUUAACUAAAAACGGAGCGUGAAUUUAACUUGUAAAAAAGAUCAAAGAAAGUAUAUUAUACAAAAUAUUGCGAUAGAUAUAUAUAUCUACAUGUAUAUCUACUCGACAAUUUGUUCCAUCUACGCUUCUCUCUGAAAGAUUAUUAUUUUUAAUAUACCUUCGAUAUAUAUAUAUAUAUAUGACGAACUAAUCAUUAUAUACUUGGCCAUAAAACGACUCAAAAGUUUCUCAAGGAACUUCUUUUAACGAGCCUCUUUGCUGUCACACAGUGCAACAAUUAUUUUUAUAAACGAGAAUGUCUGUGAUCACAGUUCUAUUUUUAAGCACUAAUAUUUUUAUACAUAUUUAUUUUCUAAUUGGCGUUCAUUUUUUUUUUUUAAUGCCAAUUUUCAAACUUCACUCGUCUCAUUUUUUUUUAUUUCAUAAGAAAUAAUCCAUUAAUUUGUCAUGCUAACUAUCGACAGUUUUUUUUCUAUUUUUCAAAAUUACCUACUAUUAUUAUUAUUAUUAUUUUGUUUUUGUUCAAACGUGAUAUCUAGAUGGCACUGUAAGACAGUCUUGGAGCAGCAUCGUGUAACACAGUAGCACUCGAUAAUAUUGCGUACUCUAAGAAGAGUACUCUAUCUUAUUGCUCGAGUCAGUCUAGGUUGUUUCCUUGGGGUGAACGAUGCAUUCGAGAAUGAAUCAAAGAACCCAUCAGUGUAUCAACGUAGAAAGGCGAGAAUUCAUCUGGUUGGCCUUUAAAGUUUAUUAUUUUUAAAUUGAGAAGAAAAAAUAUUGUGUAUUGAUGUGUAUUCAUAAUAGAAAUUCUUUCUUCUUUCACUCGUUAACCGUGUCAUCAACGAUCCAUCAACUAUCCGUUAUACUUAUGUUGCAUGCUCAAGGAUUAUACGAGUAAGUUUUAAAAGUGGGCAUGGGAUAACGAAAGUUACAGAGGAUGAAUUCUAUUAAGAGAAUAAAUGCAAAAAUCCCUCUGUGGAAGUAAGUGUUGCGUUUAUUCGUUUCCUCUUUUCCUCAUUCCUUUUUUUUAUUGAGUUUUUUUUAU